rnacentral:rRNA from 1 species
UACGUAGGGUGCGAGCGUUGUCCGGAAUUAUUGGGCGUAAAGAGCUCGUAGGCGGUUUGUCGCGUCGACUGUGAAAACCUACAGCUUAACUGUGGGCUUGCAGUCGAUACGGGCGGACUUGAGUACUGCAGGGGAGACUGGAAUUCCUGGUGUAGCGGUGAAAUGCGCAGAUAUCAGGAGGAACACCGGUGGCGAAGGCGGGUCUCUGGGCAGUAACUGACGCUGAGGAGCGAAAGCGUGGGGAGCGAACAGG